UACGGAGGGGGCUAGCGUUGUUCGGAAUUACUGGGCGUAAAGCGCGCGUAGGCGGAUCUGCAAGUCGGGGGUGAAAUCCCGAGGCUCAACCUCGGAACUGCCUUCGAUACUGCGGGUCUCGAGUCCGGGAGAGGUGAGUGGAAUUCCUAGUGUAGAGAUGAAAUUCGUAGAUAUUAGGAAGAACACCAGUGGCGAAGGCGGCUCACUGGCCCGGUACUGACGCUGAGGCGCGAAAGCGUGGGGAGCAAACAGG
rnacentral:rRNA from 1 species